rnacentral:misc_RNA from 1 species
AACUUUCGGCAAUGGAUCUCUUGGUCCUGGCAUCGAUGAAGAACGCAGCGAAAUGCGAUAUGUAGUGUGAAUUGCAGAAUUCAGUGAAUCAUCGAAUCUUUGAACGCACAUUGCGGCCCUCGGUAUCCCGGGGGGCAUGCCUGUUCGAGCGUCAUUUCUACCCUCAAGCUUUGCUUGGUUUUGGAUACUGUAGGCCUUUUCAGGCAGCUACAUAUCUUAAAUAUAGACGGCAGUACGUACUAGUUCCGAGCGUAGCAGUAAAACAUUUCGCUUUUUGGAAUUCUAGUAUUUAACUUACCGUAGAAAGUACUACCACAGUUUGACCUCGGAUCAGGCAGGGAUACCCGCUGAACUUAAGCAUAUCAAUAAGCGGAGGCU